AUUAAAAUCUAUUUUUUUCCAGCUAUCGUGUUUCUCUCUCUUGUUUGCAGAUUUUAUUUUCGUAUUUUUUAGUGAUUGAAGAUAUUUUGCUGUUGAAAAAAACCUAAUUUGUUGUGAUGGACUACAUUGUAUCUAUAUUAAUUAAACACGGUGGAAGGUGGAAUCCGUCAGGUGUAGAGAGCUAAAGAAAAAGCAAUAAAAUUGGUGCGUUGAGAUUCGACCGAAUCAUAUGCCAAACUACCAGGUUAUCUAUACAUAUUGGAGCAGACAUAUCCUGGAUCGGUUUUGAAAAUAGAAAGGAAGGAAUGUGAUAAAUUCUUAUACGCAUUUGUUGCAUUUGAAGCUUGUAUUAGAGGCUGGGAGUAUUGUAGGCCAAUUCUAGUUAUUGAUGGAGCAGGUUUAAAAUGUUUAUAUGGUGGUAUAAUGUUGACUGCCAGCACCAUGGAUCUGGGAGGUAGUUUUUGAUCCCAUAUAUUUUUACGCUUAUACAAUAUAAUAAAAUAUGUUAUAAAGUAUGUUUCCAAUUUGUGUGAUAUUUUUUUUAAAAAUGGAUCAAGUCAUAUACUUCCAUUGACGUAUGCGAUAGUGGAUUUUGAAAAUGACGCUUCAUUGACCUGGUUCUUUGAACAGUUUAAGAAAGCUUAUGGAGUUAGAUAAAACAUGUGUUUUAUGUCAGAUCGAAAUGAGAGCAUAUGGAAAGGGACUGCUACUGUAUAUUCUGAAUCCGAAUAUUGUGCCUGCAUAUAGUACCUAUCCGUUGAUGUGUUGAAGAAUUUCAAUAGGAAUACUGAAGAUUUUUAAAAAUUUUAUUUUUUACACUGGCAAAAACAUAUACAAAAUAACAGUUUGAGACGAUUAUGAGAAAAAUAGACCAAAUAGAUCAGCGAAUAAGAGGUUACUUAUUUGAUAUCGAUUAUAGCAAAUGGUCAAGAGCUUAUUCGAAUUGUAAGCACACAUGGACCAUGACUUCAAACAUUGCCGAGUCAUUGAAUAAUGUUAACAGGAUAGCAAGGAGAUUACCAUUGAUUUCACUUCUUGAAUUUAUGAGGGUAACAAUUCAAAGAUGGAUUCACAAGCACAAUGAGGAGGCUGAUAAAACAACAUCUGAGCUGACAAAAAAUAUGAUUUUUAUCUCCAGAAAAGUAUUGCUUUGUCUUGCAAUAUGACGGUGAUACCUUCAACAGUUGAUAUGCAUGCUGAAGCUGAAGGAGCAAAGAAGUGCAUAGUAAACUUGAACACAAAGAUGUGUAGUUGCGGGAGAUUUCAACAUUAUGAUAUAUCAUGUGGUCAUGUAAUUGCAGUUCUUAGAUACAGAAAAUUGCAUGAAGCAGAUUUCUGUUCUACUUUUUAUAGCAUGAAGAAUUUCAAAGAUGCAUAUUUCAUCCCUAUUGAACCUAUCCCAUGCGAGAGUACAUGGGAUAUACCAAGUUAUUUCAAAGCAUAAAUUGAUGUCACCCGAUCCAAGUAGAUCAGCGGGAAGAUCAAAAUUUGAACGCCAAAAGGAGUUUGUUGAUGUGAAAUUCAAGAGGUCAAAAAUUACUUGCAGUAGAUGUCGUCAAGUUGGACACAACAGGAAGACAUGUUCAAAUUAUCCUGCAAAAAAAAAUGAUUUAUUGUUUUUACUUAUUGUUACACAUAUUUAUAUGUUGUUUUGACGGUUAGAAACAAUUUUUAUUUUAUGGAGUGCAUUUGGUAUCAUUAACAUUGA